UUUUAUGGAGAGUUUGAUCCUGGCUCAGGAUGAACGCUGGCGGCGUGCCUAAUACAUGCAAGUCGAGCGAACAGAUAAGGAGCUUGCUCCUUUGACGUUAGCGGCGGACGGGUGAGUAACACGUGGGUAACCUACCUAUAAGACUGG
rnacentral:rRNA from 1 species